GAUGAAGAACGUAGCGAAAUGCGAUACGUAAUGUGAAUUGCAGAAUUCAGUGAAUCAUCGAAUCUUUGAACGCAUAUUGCGCUCUCUGGUAUUCCGGAGAGCAUGCUUGUUUGAGUAUCAGUAAACACCUCAACUUCCAUAUCUUUUUUGAAAUGGGAGUUGGACUUGAGUGAUCCCAACGCUUUUCCUCACCGAAAAGUGGCGGGUUACUUGAAAUGCAGGCGCAGCUGGACUUUUCUCUGAGCUAUAAGCAUAUCUAUUUAGUCUGCCUAAAAACAGAUUAUUACCUUUGCUGCAGCUAACAUAAAGGAGAUUAGUUCUUGUGCUGACUGAUGCAGGAUUCACAAAGACAGGCUUCGGCCGACUUUGUAAACUCGAUCUCAAAUCAAGUAAGACUACCCGCUGAACUUAAGCAUAUCAAUAAGCGGAGGA
rnacentral:misc_RNA from 1 species